ensembl:lncRNA
GCCCACAGGGUCCACAGGAGCCGCCCUCAGAGGCCUGGACACUCACCGCCUGGACCGACUCUGUCAACCACAAGCCACUGGAGGGCAGAGCGUGGCCUGGGGCACACAGGGAGGCUGGGGGUCCUUGGGAUUAAAGCCAGGCCAUCUACACCUCCCGCUUAGUCCAGGGCACCCGGCACUCCACCUGAACCUGACAGGUGCCUGCACCCGGAGUCAUGUCUGAGGCCCCAAUUUACCACAAUGUCCCUGGUUUUCCGUCUGAGGAAACAGAUUUACGUCAGUGACCCUGGAUUUACGUCAGUGAUCCCAGUUUUACGUUAGUGACCCCAGGUUUACGUCAAUGCUGGUGGCUUUACGUCACGGAUUUACGUCAGUGACCACAGUUUUACAUCAGUGGCCCCAGCUUUACGGCCAAGGCCCCAAUUUAUGUUGGUGGCCUUGGGUUUACCUCACAGACAAUAGACUUACGUCAGUGGCCCCGGCUUACAGCUGUGGCCCUGGAUUCACCUGUAUGGCCCCAGUUUUGACUGCCACCGGGCGCAGGUCCUGGCUGUGGUGGCCGCAGGGUCUGAGGCUUGAGGUCCACAGGACUGUACACAACUGCCUCCGUGAAAAGCAGGUGUCUGAGGGUCUGGUUUGGAGUCAGCCGGAGUCUCUUGCUGACUGACACUAUCCCAUUAGGGACGCUGUCGGGUCUGGGCAAACCCUGAAUGGCAACACAGACUCAGCCCGGUGUCCACAUGUCCGCGGUUGUCUCAGCUUCGUCCACAGCACCCAUGGCCGCAGGCCCAGGUGUCCGUGAGGGGUGGGCCAGCGCAGACGCAGGGUGUUCACACACGCACAACGGGACGCUGCUCAGCCAGGGAGGAGGAUGUGCAGCCGUUGGGACGGCGUGCGGGCCCAGAGGCCUCAGGGAUUCCUCCAAGACCGAAUCCAAGCCAUCUCCCAAGACCAAGUCAAGACUGUUCUUUUGCUUGAGACCCUGAUGGCUAGAAUAGAAAAUUAACACUACGGGCCUUAGAUUUCCUUCCUCCCAGACCGCAAACCCCUGACCCUGAUUUGCCAGCACGAAGAAGCCCUGACAUUAACGACACCCACCUCUCUUUCUCUUUUUAUAUGUAUUUCUUAGGGUUUGGAAUGAAGCAAAGUUACAUGGCUCAAAAUAGUCUGGAAUUAAAACUCCCCUUCAGAUUCUCCGCAUCAUUCUAUGCAAAACAAAGAACUCUCUCACCUGAAGGGAAAAAAUGGACAUUAAGGUUGAUUAUGCCCAGCUCCCAGCCAGUCCCAGCCUCUGGCUGAUCUCCAGAAUUCCUUGCCCCAGCUGUUUAAGAGAUAACUACUCCGAACAACCUUGGAGAAGAACAGGCCCCCUUAAGACAAUAGCUUUCCACAUAUAUGCCUACAUAUACUUAACUCUUUUCUUGGGUUAGUGCAGCAGCUCACUAAUCUGACUGUUGCCCCUUCUCACCUCAUUAAAGGUGAUCUGUUCCUGUAAAGUGCCGGUCUUGUUCUUUUUCCAAACCUCACCUUCUCUUAACUCCCUUACCCUACAACCUGUGGCCCCAAGUGUUGAGGCGGCACUUGCGGGACUUGGGGUGCCGCUGAUCUCAUGGCGUGGAUGGACACGCGGGUGGCACGCGCACCUGGGACUGAGGUGCCGAGCAUGUCUGUUACCCCUCAAGAGAAAUCGCUGCAUCCACCUGAGGAGCAAUACUGUCCACCCACGGCAGGCCUUUCUCCAUCCAUUCCCUGUGGAGUCAGUUAAGUCCCUUGACGCUCCAAGUUUCUCUUUUCCUGGGGUCCCGCCAUCCGCUGAAGCCUCUUCCCCUUUGUCAGCACUGGGUUCCUGACGCACUUCUGCAGUCUGUGACUCAGCAGAGCAGCCAUAUUUGCUUGACAAUAGCCAGCAAAGCAAACAGUUCUGAUUCCUUUUGUAAAUUAACAUUUAAAAUAUCAAUAACUAUUCAUAGGGGCCAGAAGAUUUAAUGUGAAUCACUGGUGGUUCCGAGGGACUUAAAUAC